GGGGAAUCUUAGACAAUGGGGGGAAACCCUGAUCUAGCCAUGCCGCGUGAGUGAUGAAGGCCUUAGGGUUGUAAAGCUCUUUCAGCUGGGAAGAUAAUGACGGUACCAGCAGAAGAAGCCCCGGCUAACUCCGUGCCAGCAGCCGCGGUAAUACGGAGGGGGCUAGCGUUGUUCGGAAUUACUGGGCGUAAAGCGCACGUGGGCGGACCGGAAAGUUGGAGGUGAAAUCCCAGGGCUCAACCUUGGAACUGCCUUCAAAACUAUCGGUCUGGAGUUCGAGAGAGGUGAGUGGAAUUCCGAGUGUAGAGGUGAAAUUCGUAGAUAUUCGGAGGAACACCAGUGGCGAAGGCGGCUCACUGGCUCGAUACUGACGCUGAGGUGCGAAAGCGUGGGGAGCAAAC
rnacentral:rRNA from 1 species